CCUGUAAUCCAAAAGAAAAAAAUAAUACAAACGAAGCAGGAACAUGCCAAAGAAUGAUUAAAAGAGCAACUUAAGUAGGAUAAGUAAUAAGGUAAUCUAUGAUCCUACAACAGAAAAAGAGUUAUAGCGGCAAACAAAAGAAGCAGGAACAUGCCAAAGAAUGAUUAAAAGAGCAACUUAAGUAGGAUAAGUAAUCAGGUAAUCUAUGAUCCUACAACAGAAAAAGAGUUAUAGCGGCCAUGAAUAUACCCUUUAAUUUAGCUGCAAGAAAACUUGCUGCAAAAACCUUUACCAGCAUUAAGUUAGUUGGCAUUGUAUCGGGCGUCAGUAAAGGUUUUACCAGCAAUUAUAAGUGGUGCUUAUAAAUAUCCCAAUUAUCGCCAAUAA
rnacentral:lncRNA from 1 species